GUAAGCAUAGUUUAACAAAACAUCAGACUGUGAAUCUGAAAAUAGAAACUAAGCCUUCUUGCUUACC
rnacentral:tRNA from 1 species